AGGAGGAUAAGAGACAAUAAGGUCAGAGUGUUAGUCAAAACGGUCGGAGAUUUGUUGGGGAUCCUUAGAGGCAUGCGCGCGGCGUCAUCCCAUCAGCUGUAGCAUACGAAUGCCCCGGCCCCUAUUAAGACUGUACCCCUUCUAUGUUUGACUGUUGCACUCCUUUCAUCUCUAGUCGUUUUCCGCGGCAGAGAUUAGUACACACGCGAUCUGUGUGUUUGCUGUUUGUCUCUGGACGAGACGACUGGGCUUUCGUGAUUGGGGUUUUGCCAAUUAUAGGUAGACAAUCUCGACAUCACGUAGAUUUUCCCUCUUAGCUUCUGUUUUUGCCAUCCCCUUCUUUUUGGCAUUUUCUUCUCGGAAUAUGAUUCCUUCUCCUUAGCUCCCUUUUUCUUAUAUCC
rnacentral:lncRNA from 1 species